rnacentral:lncRNA from 1 species
UCUGUAAUAAACAAUUUUCAUAAUAUCUACCAACUUUGCAGAGUAAAUCUACACAUGGCAGGCUAUAAGCAACUCUCUUGUGGCAAUUCUGAUGCAAUCCUGAACACUUUCAUUGGAAAACCCAAAACCUAAGAAUCAAUGAGAUUCAGUGGUCUUGUCCAGCAUUCAUUUUCACCCAUAACAUGAUCAAUUCUCUUCAACUUUCAACAUCUCACUCC